CCUACGGGUGGCUGCAGUAGGGAAUAUUGCUCAAUGGGGGAAACUCUGAAGCAGCAACGCCGCGUGGAGGAUGAAGGUUUUCGGAUUGUAAACUCCUUUUGUUAGGGAAGAUAAUGACGGUAUCUAAUUAAUAAGAACCGGCAAACUCCGUGCCAGCAGCCGCGGUAAUAAGGAGGGUGCGAGCGUUACUCGGAAUCACUGGGCGUAAAGAGCGAGUAGGCGGGAUAGCAAGUCAGAUGUGAAAUCCUUUGGCUUAACCAUAGAACUGCAUUUGAAAAUGUUAUUCUAGAGUAUGGGAGAGGUAGGCGGAAUUCGUGGUGGAGGGGUAAAAUCCGUAGAGAUCAAGAGGAAUACUCAUUGCGAAGGCGACCUGCUAGAACAUAACUGACGCUGAUGCGCGAAAGCGUGGGGAGCAAACAGGAUUAGAUACCCGAGUAGUC
rnacentral:rRNA from 1 species